CACAAUUCUCUAUUCUUCAAGUCCUGAAUGCCCCAUCUUAUCAUUUCUGAUGGAAAGUACAACUACCCAAAUAUGAUGCUCCAACAACCCUUGCAUAAUUCCAUGUGUUAUUACAAGGAGGGCACACAAACUUUAAAUGUUUUCAUUUUCAGGACUGCUAAGAAGCAUGUCCUUCCAAAAAGACAGACAGCUGCGAAAUGAGUACAUCUGUUAAAUUAGGUUCACAAAAUGUCACUGAACCGCAACAUGAGACAUCAAUUUCAAGAUUAAGAAUUCAAGUAGCUGUGCAUUUAUGUAUAUAGAGGAUUUGGAAAGUGUAGAAAACAUGCUAUGCAUUUCAGUCUCCUCAUCGAUGUAUAAACAACUGAGAAAUUUCUGUAUAUACAACUCUUGUCAAGAAAUUUAAAAACUCAACAAACUGCUCAAGAUGAUUUUUCCAGCUUGGCUCAUAUAGACACAGGAUGAAGUCAUUGACCUCAAGAAAGCUAUGCCCAGGAGAUUGAAAACAAAAUAUUUUGUCAAAAAUCAUAGUCUAUAUCUGUCAACUUAUGGGAGACAGAGUGCUUAAUGAGCCGUUCUUGCUCAUCAUACUGAUCAAGGUUCUCACAUGGGGCAGGGAAGAUGGUACCUAUCACACGACCUUCAACAAAGGCACACUGGAAUAUAUGCUUCUUCUUGUAUGUUAUUCCCACUGACGUAUCCCUAAAAGUCACAUUCCUCACUGGAAUUUCUUCACUCCCAUGUAUCCUCACAGGCACACGAACUCCUAGACCAUGGACCCCAGUGAAGCUUAUGUCGUCAAGUUUUGGAAAUGCCUUACGAUCAUAACCUUCAUCAGGAUGUUCGUUAUAAUCUGUCUUGAUAACAAUUCCGACCCGGACAUUGUCAAAUGUUAGAUUCCGGUAGGUUAUGUGUCGAACAUAUCCACCUCUUCCAGGGGCCGUCUUGAUCCGAACUGCACGCCUUGAGCUCCAAACAAGGAGGUUUUCCACAGUGACAUUUGAUACACCACCUGACAUCUCACUGCCAAUUGAUACUCCGGCACUGUUUCAAAAAUCGACCAAGGGGAUCUCAGUUACCAUUUAAAGAGUGAAGACGUGCAGUUACUGCCUGCCAGGACAAGGUUCAUGACAAGUCCACAUGCAUCAUUCUGCAGUUAUUAAUCAACCAAUAUUGACGUUGCUAGAUUAACAUUUUCCUUAAUCCAAGCUCUUUAUUUUUUUUGUGAUCAGAUUUCUACUGAUGUUAACUAUACCAGAACCCAUGGCUAAAAAGACACACAGGUUAAACACAAGCAGCCUAUCACGAUAGCCAAAACAAGUAGCAGUUUCCUCGUGUCAGGUUAUCUUUGCAUUAUGAAACGAAUAUUUCCUUGUUUUUGGGAAUAAAAUUACCUUCAAAACAAUUGACAUGCAUGUUUUAAAGAAAUUCAAGUUUGUUAAAAUAAUUUAUACAAACAAGCUAAGCUAACCUGAUUAUAAACAAACAAAAAAAAGAAAAUCUGACAAGUAAAAAGAUGAUACUUAUCAAAGCUAUUCCUUACCAUUUCUCCUCUGGAUAGAAAAGAAUUGCUCAUCUUUAACUAAUUGUUCACACAAUAGUAUUAACUUAUUCUUAAUUAGUUCAUAAACCAACAAUUUAAGCCAAAUAGAUUCAGGAUGAUUGAAGCAUAAAUAUAGUACGUCCUAUAUCAUAAGCAAACCUCUAAUGAACAUUUGCUACCUAAAUUACAGCUUUAUGUAUUACAUGCAUGUGUCCAAAGCUUCCACAACGCAAGACAAAGCCACCAAAAAUAUAACAUAAAAAGAUUCAAUAAUGUAUUGCUUGGGCCAUGCAGACAAACAAUUAUGAAAUUGUCUUCCACUGACAUGAAGAAAACAUUCACCAAGUUGGAAGAAAAUUAUGAAAGAAACUUCACCUGACCAUUGAGCGAACCACAAGGUUACGGAUAAGAAUAUUCAUUGAAGGUCGACCAUAUGCAAUUCCAUACUGAUCCCAGCCACUCUUUAUUGCAAUUCCAUCAUCCCCCACACUUAUGUAACAGUCUUCAAUUACCAUAUCCUCACAAGAAUCUGUUAUAUCCCCAAAAAUUAUAUUCAGGAUGGAAAGAAGAUAUUGCUACUUGCUAGCUAACUUCAUAGCGAACCAAGUAGUAGAAUAGUUACUAUUUAGAUAGUUAUCCCAUAUCACAGUAAGAAGCUUUUGGCAGGGCAACUUGAAGCACAAAGUAAGGUAUUAAUAGUUUAAUACCCAUUAAGUUACAGCAUAGAAGAAAGAACAAGAAAAAGGAAAAAUGUAAUGAGGGCAACAAUGACAUUAAUAGGAGCACAAUUUCCUUACAUACAAGAAUAAAGUCAGCUUAGGAACAUUAAAAUAGAGAAAUAGGAGAAAAGGAAAGGUAAAUGAACUUAUUUUUGAAGAUUAAAAAUUUUGAGCUCCAAGCAAACUCUCACAAUAAAGUAUUUCCAUCAAGUAUACCUGAAAUGUAUGGAACUGAAACUUCCAUAAUUUAGCAUUUCCCAACAUAUGGUUUGACCAUUGAUAGAAAAGUUUUCACUAGUUUUAAAUUGGGUUUUAAAAUACCAAUUUACCUUUUUCUUAUCUUUGAUGUGGCAGGAUUACUGCAAGGUAAUUAUUCAACUGGUAUUCCAUCUCUUAAAAGGAUUUUAUAGAAAAUGAUAGAAAUUCAGAUAAAUACAGAAUCUGAACACCUACAAAGAAUAAAAUCCAUUUUUUAAGCCAUGGGCCUGGCCCGCCAUUAUUCAUGUGGACUGUGGAGAGAAAAACACAAUGGUAAAAAAUACAUACCAGGAUCAAUUCCAUCAGUAUUUGGGGCUUCAAAUAUAGGAGCCAAGAUUGUAACAUUCCUUAUAGUUACAUUCUUGCAAUCAUAUGGAUGGAGUGUCCAAAAAGGGGAAUCCCUCAAUGUUAUAUUAGUGAUCAGAAUGUCACUUGACCACAUAAUCUGCAAAAGGGGCCCCCUUGUGUGGUUGAGAAGCUUUUGACGAUACUUUUUCCACCAUGUUUGACCCUGUCCAUUUAUGGUACCAUUGUGUCCUGUUAUAACAACAUCUUUGAGAUUUUGACCAUGGAUUAAACUCCCAUAGCGAGGUCCAGGAUGCUCUCUCCCAUAUCCAUAUGAAGGCAAUGGAGGCAUUAGUGGCCAAUACUUCUCAUCCUCAAUUCCAAGUAUAACAGCAUCUUCAGCAAGAAACAGAGUCAUAUGACUAGUGAGAUUAAAGGGGGCAGUAAGCCAUCUACCAGGAGGCACGUUCAGCUGGCCUCCCCCUCUCUUCCCCAGCUUGGAAAUCGCCAAAACCGCCCUCUCAAACGCCUCAGUAUUCAACGUGAUCCCAUCUCCCACUCCGCCAAAAUCCGUCAAAUUAAAUGCCACAGGUCUCAGCCUGGGUAUAGGCCUCAUCGGCACCUGCCAAAACACAGCGAACCUCCCUCCCACUGCGUUCCGCUGCCACACGAACACCGAGGCAAGUGCUGCGAUCCAUAGGACUGUGAAAAGGGUUUUGUGCGAAGACAAAAAUGCUUGCAUCCACCGCCUGAAUUCCAGCUUCUGGUACUGGAACCGCCCUAGUGGCGCCGUCUCUACCAUCAUUAAUUAGAGACUGAAGUCGACAACUUUUUGCCUUCUUUGAGUGAUUAGCUAGUAGUUUGAUUCAGCGAGAGAAGAGAUGGGAAAUGGAAAUUUGAGAUGUUGGACAUGGAAAUGGAUCUAAAGAGCGAGACUUUUGUUUUGUUUAGUUUUUGAGAGAAAAGGAAUUGGGUGAGAAUGUGACGUUAAUAAUCAAACAGAUGGACACUUACUGUUGAUGAAAAAGUACAUUUGAAG
rnacentral:misc_RNA from 1 species